rnacentral:rRNA from 1 species
UGCGUAGGCGGGUUAAUAAGUCAGUGGUGAAAACCUUCAGCUUAACUGGAGACUUGCCAUUGAUACUGUUAGUCUUGAGUACGGUCAAGGUAGGCGGAAUGUGUAAUGUAGCGGUGAAAUGCUUAGAUAUUACACAGAACACCGAUUGCGAAGGCAGCUUACUGGACCAUUACUGACGCUGAGGCACGAAAGCGUGGGGAGCGAACAGGAUUAGAUACCCUGGUAGUCC